AUGUCCGAUCUUCUUCUGUCUUUCGUCGCGAACGCCACAACGGCGCCGCGGUUCAGCUUCUCUGUCGUCAAAAUCGUCUCCGCCUCAUCCCUUCAAAUAUUCACCUUCUUCUGCAUUCCAAGAUCGAAAAUACCUGCUGAAGUGGUCACUUCACUUUUACUCAUCAUUGUUCACCAACUCGCAUCAAAGCUGAGAUUCGAAAAUGCCGGUGGUUCUUCAAGCUUGACGAGAACGACGACAAAAUCAGAGAACCACCACUCAGAUGAAUAUUGA